UACGGGGGGGUGCAAGCGUUAUCCGGAUUCACUGGGUUUAAAGGGUGCGUAGGUGGGAAUGUAAGUCAGUGGUGAAAUCUCCGUGCUUAACACGGAAACUGCCAUUGAUACUAUGUUUCUUGAAUUUUCUGGAGGUUAGCGGAAUAUGCCAUGUAGCGGUGAAAUGCUUAGAUAUGACAUAGAACACCAAUUGCGAAGGCAGCUAACUACAGGGAUAUUGACACUGAGGCACGAAAGCGUGGGAUCAAACAGG
rnacentral:rRNA from 1 species